ACGGGAUAUAGCGCAGCUUGGUAGCGUGCCUGCUUUGGGAGCAGGAUGUCGCAGGUUCAAAUCCUGCUAUCCCG
rnacentral:tRNA from 1 species